UACGUAGGGGGCAAGCGUUGUCCGGAAUUAUUGGGCGUAAAGAGCGUGUAGGCGGUUCGGUAAGUCUGCCGUGAAAACCUGGGGCUCAACCCCGGGCGUGCGGUGGAUACUGCCGGGCUAGAGGGUGGUAGAGGCGAGUGGAAUUCCCGGUGUAGCGGUGAAAUGCGCAGAUAUCAGGAGGAACACCAAUGCGAAGGCAGCUCGCUGGGAACGUUACUGACGCUGAGGACGAGAACGUGGGGAGCAAACAGG
rnacentral:rRNA from 1 species